rnacentral:rRNA from 1 species
GAUGAACGCUGGCGGGAGGCCUAACACAUGCAAGCCGAGCGGAAGUUUCUGGUUAGCUUGCUGAUUAACAAUGAGAGCGGCGUACGAGUUCGUAGCACGUGUGCAACCUGCCUUUAUCUUGUGGAUAGCCUUUCGAAAGUAAGAUCAAUUCCCCAUAACAUAUUUAUUGGCAUCAUUUAAUAUUGAAAGCUCCGGCGGAUAUAGAUGGGCACGCUUAAGAUUAGCUAGUUGGUGAGGUAACGGCUCACCAAGGCUGCGAUCUUUAGGGAGCCUGAGAGGGUGACACCCCACACUGGUAACGACACACGGACCAGACUACGACGCGAGGACGCAGUGACGAACAUUGGACAAUGGGGGAGAGCCUGAUCCAGCCACCCCGCGUGAAGGCCUACAGACCUAUGGUUUCUAAACUUCUCUUAUAAAGGGAUAAACCUACUCUCGUGAGUGUAGCUGAAGGUACUGUAUGAAUAAGCACCGGCUAACCCCGUG